GCGCCGUUAGCUCAGUUGGUAGAGCAGCUGACUCUUAAUCAGCGGGUCCGGGGUUCGAAACCCUGACGGCGCACAA
rnacentral:tRNA from 19 species